CCCCCAUAAUAUAAUGAGUGGCAUCACUUAUUAUUGAAAACUCCGGUGGAUAGAGAUGGGCACGCGCAAGAUUAGAUAGUUGGUAGGGUAACGGCCUACCAAGUCAGUGAUCUUUAGGGGGCCUGAGAGGGUGAUCCCCCACACUGGUACUGAGACACGGACCAGACUCCUACGGGAGGCAGCAGUGAGGAAUAUUGGACAAUGGGUGAGAGCCUGAUCCAGCCAUCCCGCGUGAAGGACGACGGCCCUAUGGGUUGUAAACUUCUUUUGUAUAGGGAUAAACCUUUCCACGUGUGGAAAGCUGAAGGUACUAUACGAAUAAGCACCGGCUAACUCCGUGCCAG
rnacentral:rRNA from 1 species